UGAGCAACCUGCCCUUGGCACUGGAAUAACAGUUGGAAACAGCUGCUAAUACCGGAUAUGACCUCUGACGACAUCGUCUGGAGGUGGAAAGCUCCGGCGGUCAAGGAUGGGCUCGCGGCCUAUCAGCUUGUUGGUGAGGUAACGGCUCACCAAGGCUUCGACGGGUAGCCGGCCUGAGAGGGCGACCGGCCACACUGGGACUGAGAUACGGCCCAGACUCCUAGGGAGG
rnacentral:rRNA from 1 species